GGAUGUGAGGGCGAUCAGGCUGCGACAUCUGUCACCCCAUUGAUUUCCAGGGUGGAUUCGGCUGAUCUGGCUGGCUAGGCAGGUGCCCCUUCCUCCCUCACCGCUCCAUGUGUGUCCUUCCUGAAGCUGCAUGGAUAGUCUUCCCGGAAUAGAGACGGACCUGUCUUCAGUCAAGGGUAUAUGAGUAGCUGCACUCCCCUACUAGAACCUCCAAAAAAGCUCUCAAGACUAGCAAGUUUACAGAGGUUUAAAAUAACAUAUCCUAAUACUUUA
ensembl:misc_RNA 7SK 7SK RNA